GUUACUGCUAUCGGUGUUCGACUAAGCCAUGCGAGUCAUAUGUUCUUCGUGAACAUGGCGGACUGCUCAGUAACACGUGGAUAACCUGCCCUUAGGUUUGGCAUAACUCCGGGAAACUGGGGAUAAUUCCGAAUAGGUCAAAUAUGCUGGAAUGCUUUUUGGCCAAAAGACUUCGGUUGCCUAAGGAUGGAUCUGCGGUCUAUCAGGUAGUAGUGGGUGUAACGUACCUACUAGCCUACGACGGAUAUGGGUUGUGAGAGCAAGAGCCCAGAGAUGGAUUCUGAGACAUGAAUCCAGGCCCUACGGGGCGCAGCAGGCGCGAAAACUUUACAAUGCGGGAAACCGCGAUAAGGGGACACCGAGUGCCAGCAUUUAUGUUGGCUGUCCACAUGUGUAAACGGCAUGUGUUAGCAAGGGCCGGGCAAGACCGGUGCCAGCCGCCGCGGUAACACUGGCGGCCCGAGUGGUAAUCACUUUUAUUGGGUCUAAAGGGUCCGUAGCCGGUUUGAUCAGUUCUUCGGGAAAUCUGACAGCUCAACUGUUAGGCUUCCGGGGAAUACUGUCAGACUUGGGACCGGGAGAGGUAAGAGGUACUACAGGGGUAGGAGUGAAAUCUUGUAAUCCCUGUGGGACCACCAGUGGCGAAGGCGUCUUACCAGAACGGGUCCGACGGUGAGGGACGAAAGCUGGGGGCACGGACCGGAUUAGAUACCCGGGUAGUCCCA
rnacentral:rRNA from 1 species